rnacentral:misc_RNA from 1 species
UUUCCGUAGGUGAACCUGCGGAAGGAUCAUUAAAGAAUGUGGUACCGAUUAUUGGUACUAAUUAAUCAUCCUACCCUUUGUGAAUUUGUUUGUAACGAAUUUUUUUAAAUGGGUCUUUCCCUAAGUUGGAUUGUAGUAAAAUACAAAAAAGACUUAGGGGAAUGACUUUUUUAAAAGACUUUUUUUUAAAUUAAAACUUUUUGUAUUCAUUUGUCUAAAAUUUAUUUUUAUAAUAUAAAAACAACUUUUGACAAUGGAUCUCUUGGUUCUCGCAACGAUGAAGAACGCAGCAAAAUGCGAUAAGUAGUGUGAAUUGCAGAAUACGUGAAUCAUCGAAUCUUCGAACGCAUAUUGCACUUUUUUAGUUACUAAAAAAGUAUGUCUGUUUGAGUAUCAGUAAAAUAUUCUCACAAACAUGUAUUGUUUGUGGUUAUGAGUGUUUUACAACGAUAAACAAGUUGUUUCACUUUAAAUUCUUUUUAAUUGAAUCUGUACCAAUUCAUAAAUUAAAAUUGGAUAAAAUUUUCCUUUAACGAGGAAUAACCUAAACAAUUUUAAAUUUUAUGGAUUAAUAACAUUCAUCAAAGGAAUCUAUACAACAAAUAACUUGAUCUCAAAUCAGAUAAGAGUACCCGCUGAACUUAAGCAUAUCAAUAAGCGGAGGAAAAGAAACUAACAAGGAUUCCCUUAGUAACGGCGAGUGAAGCGGGAAGAGCUCAAAUUUGAAAUCUUCAAGGUUUGACCUUAACGAAUUGUAGUUUAUAGAAGUGUUUUCUGUUGGAGUUUUGGUAAAAGUUCUUUGGAAUAGGACAUCAUAGAGGGUGAGAAUCCCGUAUUUGACCAUGACUUUCCAGCUGUGUGAUACACUUUCAAAGAGUCGGAUUGUUUGGGAAUGCAGUCCAAAAUGGGUGGUAAAUUUCAUCUAAAGCUAAAUAUUGGCGAGAGACCGAUAGCGAACAAGUACCGUGAGGGAAAGAUGAAAAGAACUUUGAAAAGAGAGUUAAACAGUACGUGAAAUUGUCAAAAGGGAAGCGUUUGACACCAGUGUUGUUUUCUCGAAAAUCAAUUUAAUGGUUCUUGUCUUUAAGUUAUUGUGACUUUAUCAGCGCAUUUCUUAUUUUACUUGACUCAUUGAAUGCACUUUUCGUUUAACAAGUCAACAUCAAUUUCUUUGGUGGUAAAAAGUUUAAAGGAAGGUGGCUUGGACUUCGGUUCAAGUGUUUAUAGCCUUUUUUCUAUGCCAUCGGAGAGAUUGAGGUCUGCAGCGUAGAUCCUUCGGGGUUAGAUACUUUGUGCUAAGUUAUAGUUUUUAUAGACAACUUGUUGACUAUAAUUAACCCUGUAAUUUACUCGCUUAGGCUAUUUUACCUACGCUUAGGAUGUUG